UGGGGAAUAUUGGACAAUGGGGGCAACCCUGAUCCAGCAGUGCCGCGUGUGUGAAGAAGGCCUUCGGGUUGUAAAGCACUUUUAUCGGGAACGAAACAUUGUCGGCCAAUACCCGGCAAGACUGACGGUACCCGAGGAAUAAGCACCGGCUAACUCCGUGCCAGCAGCCGCGGUAAUACGGAGGGUGCAAGCGUUAAUCGGAAUUACUGGGCGUAAAGCGUGCGCAGGCGGUUUGUUAAGUCUGCUGUGAAAUCCCCGAGCUCAACUUGGGAAUUGCAGUGGAUACUGGCAAGCUGGAGUACGGUAGAGGAAGGUGGAAUUCCCGGUGUAGCAGUGAAAUGCGUAGAGAUCGGGAGGAACACCAGUGGCGAAGGCGGCCUUCUGGACCAGUACUGACGCUCAUGCACGAAAGCGUGGGGAGCAAACA
rnacentral:rRNA from 1 species